rnacentral:sRNA from 1 species
AUUAUUUUUAUUUUAUUUUU